rnacentral:rRNA from 1 species
GACGAACCGUGCGAACGUUAUUCGGAAUCACUGGGCUUAAAGCGCGUGUAGGCGGGUCGGAACGUCGGCCGCUGAAAUCCCCCGGCUCAACCGGGGAAGGGGCGCCGAUACGACCGACCUGGAGCGACGUAGGGGGGACUGGAACUUCCGGUGGAGCGGUGAAAUGCGUUGAGAUCGGAAGGAACACCAGUGGCGAAGGCGGCGACCUGGACAGAUAUUGACGCUGAGGUGCGAAAGCGUGGGGAGCAAACAGG